rnacentral:rRNA from 1 species
CGUACGAUACGUAGUUUGACUCCGUGGCUCAGAACGACGCUGGGCGGCAGGCCUAACACAUGCAAGUCGAGCGAACCCUUCGGGGUUAGCGGCGGACGGGUUAGUAACGCGUGGGAAUAUACCCUUUGGUACGGAAUAGCCUCGGGAAACUGAGAGUAAUACCGUAUGUGCCCUUCGGGGGAAAGAUUUAUCGCCAAAGGAUUAGCCCGCGUUGGAUUAGAUAGUUGGUGGGGUAAUGGCCUACCAAGUCUACGAUCCAUAGCUGGUUUGAGAGGAUGAUCAGCAACACUGGGACUGAGACACGGCCCAGACUCCUACGGGAGGCAGCAGUGGGGAAUCUUAGACAAUGGGCGCAAGCCUGAUCUAGCCAUGCCGCGUGGACGAUGAAGGCCUUAGGGUUGUAAAGUCCUUUCAGAUGGGAAGAUAAUGACGGUACCAUCAGAAGAAGCCCCGGCUAACUCCGUG